rnacentral:rRNA from 1 species
GACGAACGCUGGCGGCGUGCCUAAUACAUGCAAGUUGAGCGCUGAAGGUUGGUACUUGUACCAACUGGAUGAGCAGCGAACGGGUGAGUAACGCGUGGGGAAUCUGCCUUUGAGCGGGGGACAACAUUUGGAAACGAAUGCUAAUACCGCAUAAAAACUUUAAACACAAGUUUUAAGUUUGAAAGAUGCAAUUGCAUCACUCAAAGAUGAUCCCGCGUUGUAUUAGCUAGUUGGUGAGGUAAAGGCUCACCAAGGCGAUGAUAUAUAGCCGACCUGAGAGGGUGAUCGGCCACAUUGGGACUGAGACACGGCCCAAACUCCUACGGGAGGCAGCAGUAGGGAAUCUUCGGCAAUGGACGAAAGUCUGACCGAGCAACGCCGCGUGAGUGAAGAAGGCUUUCGGAUCGUAAAACUCUGUUGGUAGAGAAGAACGUUGGUGAGAGUGGAAAGCUCAUCAAGUGACGGUAACUACCCAGAAAGGGACGGCUAACUACGUG